rnacentral:miRNA from 1 species
CUACAUUAAUGAAAAGAACAAU